GCCAGUGGUGAACUCCACAUCCGCAUCCUUUGCUGAGGAUACGGUUAACGGAGCGAAAGCGACGUUCAACCGCAAAACAAGCAGAGGGGGCUUAGUGGUGGGGUGACUGCGUACCUUUUGUAUAAUGGGUCAGCGACUUAUAUUCUGUAGCAAGGUUAACCGAAUAGGGGAGCCGGAGGGAAACCGAGUCUUAAUUGGGCGUUAAGUUGCAGGGUAUAGACCCGAAACCCGGUGAUCUAGCCAUGGGCAGGUUGAAGGUUGGGUAACACUAACUGGAGGACCGAACCGACUAAUGUUGAAAAAUUAGCGGAUGACCUGUGGCUGGGGGUGAAAGGCCAAUCAAACCGGGAGAUAGCUGGUUCUCCCCGAAAGCUAUUUAGGUAGCGCCUCGUGAAUUCAUCUCCGGGGGUAGAGCACUGUUUCGGCUAGGGGGCCAUCCCGGCUUACCAACCCGAUGCAAACUGCGAAUACCGGAGAAUGUUAUCACGGGAGACACACGGCGGGUGCUAACGUCCGUCGUGAAGAGGGAAACAACCCAGACCGCCAGCUAAGGUCCCAAAGUCAUGGUUAAGUGGGAAACGAUGUGGGAAGGCCCAGACAGCCAGGAUGUUGGCUUAGAAGCAGCCAUCAUUUAAAGAAAGCGUAAUAGCUCACUGGUCGAGUCGGCCUGCGCGGAAGAUGUAACGGGGCUAAACCAUGCACCGAAGCUGCGGCAGCGAACGUAUCACCCAAGACAACUUUACGGAGUUGACGAUUGACGGAGCGAAGCGACGUCAAAGCGUUCAUUAAAGUCGAGUUGGCUUAGGGAUACGUUCGUUGGGUAGGGGAGCGUUCUGUAAGCCUGUGAAGGUGUGUCGUGAGGCAUGCUGGAGGUAUCAGAAGUGCGAAUGCUGACAUAAGUAACGAUAAAGCGGGUGAAAAGCCCGCUCGCCGGAAGACCAAGGGUUCCUGUCCAACGUUAAUCGGGGCAGGGUGAGUCGACCCCUAAGGCGAGGCCGAAAGGCGUAGUCGAUGGGAAACGGGUUAAUAUUCCCGUACUUGGUGUUACUGCGAAGGGGGGACGGAGAAGGCUAUGUUGGCCGGGCGACGGUUGUCCCGGUUUAAGCGUGUAGGUGUGUGUUCCAGGUAAAUCCGGUUCACUUUAACACUGAGGCGUGACGACGAGGCACUACGGUGCUGAAGCAACAAAUGCCCUGCUUCCAGGAAAAGCCUCUAAGCAUCAGGUAACAUCAAAUCGUACCCCAAACCGACACAGGUGGUCAGGUAGAGAAUACCAAGGCGCUUGAGAGAACUCGGGUGAAGGAACUAGGCAAAAUGGUGCCGUAACUUCGGGAGAAGGCACGCUGACACGUAGGUGAAGUGAUUUACUCAUGGAGCUGAAGUCAGUCGAAGAUACCAGCUGGCUGCAACUGUUUAUUAAAAACACAGCACUGUGCAAACACGAAAGUGGACGUAUACGGUGUGACGCCUGCCCGGUGCCGGAAGGUUAAUUGAUGGGGUCAGCGCAAGCGAAGCUCCUGAUCGAAGCCCCGGUAAACGGCGGCCGUAACUAUAACGGUCCUAAGGUAGCGAAAUUCCUUGUCGGGUAAGUUCCGACCUGCACGAAUGGCGUAAUGAUGGCCAGGCUGUCUCCACCCGAGACUCAGUGAAAUUGAACUCGCUGUGAAGAUGCAGUGUACCCGCGGCAAGACGGAAAGACCCCGUGAACCUUUACUAUAGCUUGACACUGAACAUUGAGCCUUGAUGUGUAGGAUAGGUGGGAGGCUUUGAAGUGUGGACGCCAGUCUGCAUGGAGCCGACCUUGAAAUACCACCCUUUAAUGUUUGAUGUUCUAACGUGGACCCGUAAUCCGGGUUGCGGACAGUGUCUGGUGGGUAGUUUGACUGGGGCGGUCUCCUCCUAAAGAGUAACGGAGGAGCACGAAGGUUGGCUAAUCCUGGUCGGACAUCAGGAGGUUAGUGCAAUGGCAUAAGCCAGCUUGACUGCGAGCGUGACGGCGCGAGCAGGUGCGAAAGCAGGUCAUAGUGAUCCGGUGGUUCUGAAUGGAAGGGCCAUCGCUCAACGGAUAAAAGGUACUCCGGGGAUAACAGGCUGAUACCGCCCAAGAGUUCAUAUCGACGGCGGUGUUUGGCACCUCGAUGUCGGCUCAUCACAUCCUGGGGCUGAAGUAGGUCCCAAGGGUAUGGCUGUUCGCCAUUUAAAGUGGUACGCGAGCUGGGUUUAGAACGUCGUGAGACAGUUCGGUCCCUAUCUGCCGUGGGCGCUGGAGAACUGAGGGGGGCUGCUCCUAGUACGAGAGGACCGGAGUGGACGCAUCACUGGUGUUCGGGUUGUCAUGCCAAUGGCACUGCCCGGUAGCUAAAUGCGGAAGAGAUAAGUGCUGAAAGCAUCUAAGCACGAAACUUGCCCCGAGAUGAGUUCUCCCUGAGACUUAGAGUCUCCUGAAGGAACGUUGAAGACGACGACGUUGAUAGGCCGGGUGUGUAAGCGCAGCGAUGCGUUGAGCUAACCGGUACUAAUGAACCGUGAGGCUUAACCUUACA
rnacentral:rRNA from 1 species